CUAAAUGAAUUUGAGAUAUCUUGAAUUAUUCAGCUUUUCCAUUUAAGAUAUCUUAAAUUGACAUUCUGACUAGUCAAAAUGACAUUACUGAUAUCUUGAAUUAGCAUUCUGUCUAGUCAAAACGUCACAGAUUUACGUAACAUUUUGGCGGAUACUAGCCUUCGGCUACUUGAUUAUGCUAUUCAGUGGUCCACAGUGUCAGAUCAGUCCAGCUCAAAUGUUCGUGUUUUUAACAAUAUUCAGCGCUGCAACUCGUGCUUGACAUGAAUUAAGAAAUACAUGUUGCAGAGAAUAAUUUAUUCUUUGCAACAAGAAGACUUUUUCGACGUCAAGUGCAGAGAAGUCAAGCUCGGCUGGGAGGCUGCCAAGCUCUGUAUGGAAGACAAAUAUUUUCUUGCUUUCUGGCCCUAAAAUUGACGUCCUCCCUUCUCCCUCAGAUGUACAAAGACUGAAGGACCAUGGAUUAGGCCUGGGCAUGAGGGGACAGAAACCAGGAGCUCCAAAAUUAACCUGAAUUGGAGCUUGUCUGAACUGAACAACUUUGUGUAUCAAAGCUACCCACACAUCAGCCUAAAUCUGGUUGGCUUUGAACUGGCAAGAGCUGGAAAAGGACGAAAGGAAACCUGUCAACCUCAGCAAUGUCCAGGAGUUUGUUUGCAGAACCCUCAACUGCACCAGAAGUACAGGACGUCUCUCCAGAGGUUGAGAGAGUACCAACAGACAACAUUUGGAGGAAGAGCAGAUUGGCGAUCUCUGCGGUCCCAGCAAGAUGAAGAGUAUGAAGAGUUGUUUUUAGCAGACCAAGAAAAUAAGGAGAAUGCAGUCCCAUUACCCUUGGAAUGAUACUGGAAUUUGCUUCUGGAGCAUCCACGGUACCUCCACUGGGCUUUCCCCAUCGUCCACAAAUUGAAUUCCUCCAUGAGUCUAACAGAGUCUUCCCAGAAGCAAAUACUUGCCUGAUAGUACUCUGCCUUCCUGUACACCCAGACUAUGAGUCUUUCACAAAGUACAUGACAGACGGGGUGCUGCAGGGACCUACCUUUGGUGUUGCAUAAUCAGCUAAUAACUGUAAUAAGCAUUUCUUUUAAAAUAGAGUUGGAAUGUUUUGAAAAGUUAAGUAUUUUAAAGCAAGUUAUAGUAAAGGUAAUGUAAUGGCCGAAAUAUUGGAAUGUAAAUACAAUAUUGGCUUCUCUUGUUUUUUUGCAAAGAAUAGGAGUCUUUUUAACCACUUUUUGGUUUCACAAUUUAAAGGUGUACGUUUAAGCCACACUGCAAAUCAAAAGGUCUACUCUGGUAAUGAACACUGCUCAAUUGCUCUCCAGAAUGUGUAAUUAAUUUGUCAUAUCUUUAAACACCUUAACAUUUAUAAUUAAAUCUGAAAGGUUACCUACUCAUGUCAAUUCCGAGUUUUAUUUGUAGUAAUUGUAUCUUUAGAACAAUGCAUUUGAUCAAAUGUUCUGUGACAUGUACUUAAAUCAAUAAAGCAUUUGCAGUUUCUGCACAACAGACCUGGUAUUUCUCCUUCAGAUCUGAAAUAUGAUUGACUGCAAGAUUAAAUGACUGAGGUCGGUGCCAACUGAGCCUGGUCCGAGGUGGUUCUACAACUACACUAGGAACCUCUUCAGCAACAGUGGUUGGUAGUGGCCAAAGGCCAUGCUGUUGCAGAGUCUCUGGUGCGCUGGAAUUUUCACCAAACACGUUGUUAGUUGCUGUGCUGUUUGCCAACAUCCGUUCAGUGCAGAUUUCUGUUGGUGUUUUAUUGUUUUCUGUAUGCAAGGAAUGGUGGUUCCAUGACUUUCUGAAUUGUUCCAGUCGGCUUUGAAUCUCAGGAAGAAAAACUAUGUGAAGAGAAAGUUUGUGCACAUCAUUGCUGGGAUCCAAGAGGGUUGAAUCUUUAAGAUUAUAAAAUGUGCUAUAAAAUGGUUCCAGAACAUGUAAAACCACAUCCCUCCAAAGACGCUCAACUCUGAUUAUGGAUGGAUUCCCCAGUUAGAUGACUCCGACGUUCAUCACCAAUAGCCACUUGCACAUUCUCUCCACUAUGGUCUGACCUCACUCUAGAAGGUAAACCAUAGAGGCCUGUUGCCUUGAGAAAAUGAAAUAGCACUGUUGAGGUGUGAUUGUCUGUGCUGCAGUUCAAGCAGGUAACUAAGCGAGAACAUCCAUUGAUGCCACCAUGUACCACAAAGCCCCACCUUGGGCCAAAAGAAAGUCGAUCUGCUCUUUUAUAAUAUGAAUAACUGGUCUACCUCAACCACCUAAAAUAGAAUCAUAUUUUAGGUGGUCUUAGCAUAAUGUUUACUUUAUACAUCUGUUUUUUUCUGUUUGUCUAUAUCUGUCUAUCCUCUGCAGGUGUCCCUGUAUCUCCUAAAGGUGACACUAUGCAUUUCACACUGUGUAUAAAUUUAUUUUGAUAUACAUAAUUUCCUGUUACAAAUGCAUGAACACAAAGCUUUAAACUUUUAUAGACGCUGGAAAGCAACUUAAAGUGUGAAUCAGACAUGAACCGGGGUGCGCUUUUAUUUUCAGAGGAGCUAAAGGAUGGGUGUAGUGCCGUGUAGUAUGUCAAAAUCAAGAGCUGGCUGGCUUUACUAUAAUUUCCGAAAAGGCAGAUAGCUUUACCACAGUAUAAAAACUACAUCUGGUUAUUACUUGAACUGGCCCGGGCUGCGGAAUAUUAAUAUCAAUACAAUAAAAUCGCGCUCUCCGCAUAUCCCAUACUGAAGAGCUCUUUCUAUAUUGUGGCAUUUUCUUACAAUUUUGUCCAAAACUGCCAGCGCCAUUGAAUUUGUUCAGGCAAUUGUUUGGACAGCUCAGUACAGCCAAAGAGGGGCUUACACGCAAUCUCUUAAUUCAGAUAUCUAAAAUUGUAAUUCUGACUAGUCAUAAUUACGUUCGAGAUAUCUUAAAUUAUAAUUACGGAUGUGUGACCCUUCUAAUGACGAAUCCGAUGACGUCAUAUGAGAUAUCUUGAAAGGAAUUUUGACUAGUCAAAAUGAAAUUGAAGAUAUCUUGAAUUAUUAUUCUUCCUAGUCAGAAUGUAAAUACAGAUAUCUUAAAUUACCAUUCCGGAUAGUCAAAAUGUAGUUUUGUCUAGUCAAAAUGCAAUUUUAGAUAUCUAGAAUGUAAUUACGGAUAGUCAGACGAAACCGAAUUUAUGUUAAAACGGCUUGCCAUAGGGAUAUGAGCGCCAUCUUCAGGGGCCAUGAGCAUAACCGACAAAAACGACUGUCUCACAGACAUUUUUAAUCUAAGUUACCUAAAAUAAUUUAGCAAUGGUGCAAACUUGCUGAAACGGUAAAAAGAAGGAAAACGGACUUUCGUUUCACUGUUUUUCUGCCUGUAAACAACGCGAGGGGGCGAAGCUAACGAAGCUAAGCUAUCGGAGCUAGCAAAGAAGAAUGUCCUGGGUAUCAGCGUGAGACGUCCUGAUAUUACGUUCUCCAACAUUCCAAGAUAUCUACAAGUUUGCUCCAGACAUGUCAUUCUGGUGAGUGUCUAAAUUCACUUUGUUGGUGUUGUGUCAUAAUGUUUUGCUAUGGUUUUGUCCGGGUCACUCAUGUUCAGUUACAUUGAGUUCAUUUAACUGGGUCAAUCUUGUUUAGGUCGGGCUUAUAUUUUUUAGUCCUAGUUUUGUCAGUGGACAUCGAGGUUAUUCCAUUAUUGUGAAGUAAACUAUUUUACUAGUGUUGUCAAAUUUACAGCAUUAAUACUGAUGUGUGUUCUGAUAUGUCCUCUUCAAGGCAAACCGAUGUAUGAAAUGGAUUAGCUCAAUCCAGACUGGGUUCCAGCGCUGAAUAUGGGUCACUGCGAGGUAAACGCCACAACAUCGGACCGACAUGCGUGUCAAUUAAAGAGGCGAUACAACAAAACCAUGGUGGAUCAACAAGUUACAGAGACUGUGUUUUCAUUAUUUACCCCAAAGAGGUAAAUAAUGACAACACAGUAGCGGAGGCUAUAGAAGAGGAGCGAGUUGGAGAGGAGCUCAGCAAGGCUGCACACUUUGAAGAGGAACAGAAACCAUUUGUGUUGAAAUAUGUUUUCAGUUGGAAGUGGCUGUUUUCUCUCAUUUCAUAAUUGAGUGUGGUAAACAUUCAUGAAAUGGUCGAUUCAAGCACUUCAAGUUGCAUGUAAACAGGUGAUGAAAUGAAUCACAUUUCAAGUGAAAAUUUGAUAUUUAAAAUAUUUCAGGUAAUAAACAUAUAUAUAUAUAACAAAAAAUUAUAUUUGUAAAUAAACAUUUUAUGUGAUUAAAGUAAACAAUUAUAUAAUCAGACAUUUUGCAGGAACCAUUUAAUGUAAACAAUCAAACCAGAUGACAGAGCUCAUCUUAAAACAUUUAAUGUGUAAUUAAAGAGUUCAGAGUAAACAAUAAAGGUGACAAGUAAAUGUUAUGAAAUAGAUCACACUUGAAAUAUUUGUUGAAUUUAACAAGAAGUGAACAUGUAAUGAAAUAGAUCCUGUCCUAGAAUUUUAUGUACUUGAACAAUACAGGUAACAAAUGUGGUGAUCAUCUCAGGUAAUAUAUUUUAUAAACAUUUUUUUUUAAAUAUUUUUGAAAUAUAAAAUUAGUUAAAAAAUAAAAAAAGGGGUCAAAAUGUAAUAAAGAUGAUUGUGCUGCAUCUGCACAGUCUGGUAGAAUAAUUUCACACUGAUUUUGAGUUAAUGGGGCUCAAGAUUUAGAAGCUAUUGAAGAAAACACAUUAUUUAAUAUUAAAAUUACUUAAAAUAUUGAACAUGACUUAAAAUUUUAAUAGUGUGCCACGUGUAAUAGCAUGAAUUAACACUUUUUGUAUCAGCUGGUCACAAGGCAAGGCAUUUAUUUACGGGAGUGUUUGGUUCCGAAAUUGACGGCCCCCAAGUGAAUCUCCCAGCGCUUGAGGAGGGAGCGCUAGAGAACAGCUGGCCGGAAUUAGCGUUCAUAAUUUAGUUCAAGGAUUAGCCUUGAACUAAACGCCUCAGUAAUGUUAAUAAAUCAGUGAAAUUAUUCCAUAUAUUGUGGCCAAAUCGGACA